UAUAUACUCUCUCCGUCCGGAAACAUUUGUCGCAAAAAUGAAUAAAAAUAGAUGUAUUUAGAACUAAAAUGUGUGUAGGUACAUUUAUUUUUCCGACAAGUAUUUUCGGACGGAGGGAGUACAUA
rfam:Triticum urartu cultivar G1812 contig652262, whole genome shotgun sequence.